AACAGUAUUAAGUAUUUUGACUGAUUAUAAACAUUUGCAUGAGUCGAAUUGAUUGGUAUUCUAAUAAAUCUAUCGACAUGUACUUUAGCAAAGUGCAUGUAAACGCAGUGAUUGAUGCUUCUUCAGUGAGUUAACAAUGCUAUAUUGUGACUAAUAACUAUAACUGAUACAUUAUCCAAAAAUCCAAAGGGCUUUAAUUGUCUAAUUAGACUCAAAUACAUACAGUCAUAGUUGAUAAGGUGGUGAUGAGAAUGCUAGACAGUAAAGGAAGCAGCAGUGCAGUAUUUUCUUUGGUCAUCUCAGGCUCAGCAGUGGUAUGGCCAUUCAAACAAGCAUCCCAUGUUAGGACUGAGAGCAACUUGGUUCCAUUUCAAUGAUGUAUACAGUAACUUUUGACCAGUGAUAACAGUGUGGUCACUUUUCAUCGUAUUGCUCCUACCACACUCGCCUAGAAACUUUCCCCAUCAGGAGUGUAAAAGGGAAAAGCAGAAAUGUUGGUGGAGUGGGAGCCCUGUCCAGUAUGGUAUAUAUCUUCCAGUUACUUGGCUUCAUGUCAUCUGAUGUAGUCCCAUGUUGGAGAACAAACACAUGAUAUUUAACAAAUGCAAAACAUCCAAAUCUACCACCAGUCCUCUUAUAUAUUUCACUGCUGUUAUUCUGAAGCAGCUGAAGUAGUGUAGGAACAAAUGAUUGUUUAACUUCAUUGUUGUUA